UAUAUAAAUUGUUCUUGAAGCUGCUGUGGAGAAAAAAUAACAAACGAUACACAUAUAAUGUGAUGUGUGUGUCUGUGUGUAUAUACAUGCGGUGAAUUUGCACAGUGUUUCGGUUUUAAUUAACUAAAUACAAAUCGGAAUUGUGUGUUUUUUAUUUAGAUGCCCUAAUGGCCAAGAACAAUAUUUUAUUUGAGGGUUUUUUGUUUGUUUGAAUGAAACUGCCCCACGGACAAUGUGAAGCAAAAAAAUAUGUUCAGACAUAUAAAUAUUAAUAAAUAGGACUGGAGUUGCCGAAAUUUUAGCAAUGGACAAGUUGAGAUCCACCGAUGCUUGUUGGGGCGAACUAGAUAUAAUAGCUGUUCAAUUUUUAUUCCGGAGUUACAUUAGCGGAUGGAUGGCGACGGCCAGAUAAACUUCUU